GGUCUGUGAUGACAAAGUGAAGGCUUGUUCUCAAAACAUUCCGCAGUGGCCGCCUGAGAGCUUUCGCCUCGCCAGGCUUGAGAGCUGCUGUCGCUUAUUUUCCUUCCUGGAUGUCUGAGACC